rnacentral:rRNA from 1 species
UGGGGAAUAUUGGACAAUGGGGGGAACCCUGAUCCAGCCAUGCCGCGUGUGUGAAGAAGGCCUUAUGGUUGUAAAGCACUUUAAGCGAGGAGGAGGGUACUGGUAUUAAUACUACCAGGUACUGGACGUUACUCGCAGAAUAAGCACCGGCUAACUCUGUGCCAGCAGCCGCGGUUAUACAGAGGGUGCGAGCGUUAAUCGGAUUUACUGGGCGUAAAGCGUGCGUAGGCGGCUAAUUGAGUCGGAUGUGAAAUCCCCGAGCUUAACUUGGGAAUUGCAUUCGAUACUGGUUAGCUAGAGUGUGGGAGAAGAUGGUAGAAUUCCAGGUGUAGCGGUGAAAUGCGUAGAUAUCUGGAGGAAUACCGAUGGCGAAGGCAGCCAUCUGGCCUAACACUGACGCUGAGGUACGAAAGCAUGGGGAGCAAACAGG